rnacentral:rRNA from 1 species
GCGCACCAGGCGAGAAAACUUCACACUGUGCGAAAGCACGAUGAGGGAAUCCCAAGUGCUUGCACGUAAGUGUAAGCUGUUUCUCUGUCUAAAACGCAGAGAGAGUAAGGGCUGGGUAAGACGGGUGCCAGCCGCCGCGGUAAUACCUGCAGCUCAAGUGGUGACCGUUAUUAUUGGGGCCUAAAACGUCCGUAGCCGGUUUAAUAAAUGCCUGGGUAAAUUGCGUAGCUUAACUAUACGAAUUCCGGGUAGACUGUUAAAC